UCCGGAGGAUGCAAGCGUUAUCCGGAAUUAUUGGGCGUAAAGAGCUCGUAGGCGGUCUGUUGAGUCGGCUGUGAAAACCCGGGGCUCAACUCCGGGCCUGCAGCCGAUACGGGCAGACUAGAGUUCGGCAGGGGAGACUGGAAUUCCUGGUGUAGCGGUGAAAUGCGCAGAUAUCGAGAGGAACACCUGCGGCGAAGGCGGGUUGCUGGGCUGAUACUGACGCUGAGGCGCGAAAGCCAGGGGAGCGAACGGG
rnacentral:rRNA from 1 species